rnacentral:rRNA from 1 species
GACGAACGCUGGCGGCGCGCCUAACACAUGCAAGUCGAACGAGCGAGAGAGAGCUUGCUUUCUCGAGCGAGUGGCGAACGGGUGAGUAACGCGUGAGGAACCUGCCUCAAAGAGGGGGACAACAGUUGGAAACGACUGCUAAUACCGCAUAAGCCCACGACCUGGCAUCGGGUAGAGGGAAAAGGAGCAAUCCGCUUUGAGAUGGCCUCGCGUCCGAUUAGCUAGUUGGUGAGGUAACGGCCCACCAAGGCGACGAUCGGUAGCCGGACUGAGAGGUUGAACGGCCACAUUGGGACUGAGACACGGCCCAGACUCCUACGGGAGGCAGCAGUGGGGAAUAUUGCACAAUGGGGGAAACCCUGAUGCAGCGACGCCGCGUGGAGGAAGAAGGUCUUCGGAUUGUAAACUCCUGUUGUUGAGGAAGAUAAUGACGGUACUCAACAAGGAAGUGACGGCUAACUACGUG